AUUGAACGCUGGCGGCAUGCUUUACACAUGCAAGUCGAACGGUAACAGCACUUCGGUGGCUGACGAGUGGCGAACGGGUGAGUAAUACAUCGGAACGUGCCUAGUAGUGGGGGAUAACUACUCGAAAGAGUAGCUAAUACCGCGUGAGAUCUAAGGAUGAAAGCAGGGGACCUUCGGGCCUUGCGCUACUAGAGCGGCUGAUGGCAGAUUAGGUAGUUGGUGGGAUAAAAGCUUACCAAGCCGACGAUCUGUAGCUGGUCUGAGAGGACGACCAGCCACACUGGGACUGAGACACGGCCCAGACUCCUACGGGAGGCAGCAGUGGGGAAUUUUGGACAAUGGGCGCAAGCCUGAUCCAGCAAUGCCGCGUGCAGGAUGAAGGCCUUCGGGUUGUAAACUGCUUUUGUACGGAACGAAAAGCCCUCUUCUAAUACAGGAGGGUCAUGACGGUACCGUAAGAAUAAGCACCGGCUAACUACGUG
rnacentral:rRNA from 1 species